UACGUAGGGUCCGAGCGUUGUCCGGAAUUACUGGGCGUAAAGAGCUCGUAGGUGGUUUGUCGCGUUGUUCGUGAAAACUCACAGCUCAACUGUGGGCUUGCGGUCGAUACGGGCAGGCUGGAGUUCGGUAGGGGAGACUGGAAUUCCUGGUGUAGCGGUGAAAUGCGCAGAUAUCAGGAGGAACACCGGUGGCGAAGGCGGUUCUCUGGGAAUGACCUGACGCUGAGGAGCGAAAGUGUGGGGAGCGAACAGG
rnacentral:rRNA from 1 species